rnacentral:rRNA from 1 species
GACGAACGCUGGCGGCGUGCCUAACACAUGCAAGUCGAGCGAAUGAAGUUCCUUCGGGAACGGAUUUAGCGGCGGACGGGUGAGUAACACGUGGGCAACCUGCCUCAUAGAGGGGAAUAGCCUUCCGAAAGGGAGAUUAAUACCGCAUAAGAUUGUAGUAUCGCAUGGUACAGCAAUUAAAGAAGCAAUCCGCUAUGAGAUGGGCCCGCGGCGCAUUAGCUAGUUGGUGAGGUAACGGCUCACCAAUGCGACGAUGCGUAGCCGACCUGAGAGGGUGAUCGGCCACAUUGGGACUGAGACACGGCCCAGACUCCUACGGGAGGCAGCAGUGGGGAAUAUUGCACAAUGGGGGAAACCCUGAUGCAGCAACGCCGCGUGAGUGAUGACGGCCUUCGGGUUGUAAAGCUCUGUCUUCAGGGACGAUAAUGACGGUACCUGAGGAGGAAGCCACGGCUAACUACGUGCCAGCCGCCGCAGUAAUAC